AGGUUAAGUUAACAAGGGCGCAUGGUGAAUGCCUUGGCACUAGGAGCCGAUGAAGGACGGGACUAACACCGAUAUGCUUCGGGGAGCUGUACGUAAGCUAUGAUCCGGAGAUUUCCGAAUGGGGCAACCCAGCAGUUUUAAUCAACUGUUACCACUAGAUGAAUUCAUAGUCUAGUUGGAGGUAAACGCUGUGAACUGAAACAUCUCAUUAGCAGCAGGAAUAUAAAGAAAUUUCGAUUCCCUAAGUAGCGGCGAGCGAACGGGGAACAGCCCAAACCAAAGUGCUUGCACUUUGGGGUUGUAGGACUGAACAUUUGAGUUACCAAAGAACUUGAUAGUCGAAGGAUUUGGGAAAAUCCGCCAUAGAUGGUGAUAGCCCAGUAGAUUAAAUCAAAUUCUCUCAGUUCAGGAUCCUGAGUACGGCGGAACACGUGAAAUUCCGUCGGAAUCCGGGAGGACCAUCUCCCAAGGCUAAAUACUACCUAGUGACCGAUAGUGAACCAGUACCGUGAGGGAAAGGUGAAAAGCACCCCGGGAGGGGAGUGAAAUAGUUCCUGAAACCAUGUGCCUACAAUAAGUCAGAGCGCGUUAAUGCGUGAUGGCGUGCCUUUUGUAGAAUGAACCGGCGAGUUAUGAUCCCGUGCAAGGUUAAGACUAAAAAGUCGGAGCCGUAGCGAAAGCGAGUCUGAAAUGGGCGUUUUGAGUACGAGGUUAUAGACCCGAAAUCAGGUGACCUAUCCAUGUCCAGGUUGAAGGUGCGGUAAAACGCACUGGAGGACCGAACCCGUGUAAGUUGAAAAUUGCUGGGAUGAGGUGUGGAUAGCGGUGAAAUUCCAAACGAACUUGGAGAUAGCUGGUUCUCUCCGAAAUAGCUUUAGGGCUAGCCUCGGAAUUAGGAUCAUGGAGGUAGAGCACUAUUUGGACUAGGGGCCCGUCUUGGGUUACUGAAUUCAGAUAAACUCCGAAUGCCAUUGAUUCAUAUCCGGGAGUCAGACGAUGAGUGAUAAGAUCCACCGUCGAAAGGGGAACAGCCCAGACCAUCAGUUAAGGUCCCUAAAUGUAUGCUAAGUGGAAAAGGAUGUGGAGUUGCAUAGACAACUAGGAUGUUGGCUCAGAAGCAGCCACCAUUUAAAGAGUGCGUAAUAGCUCACUAGUCGAGUGAUCCUGCGCCGAAAAUGUACCGGGGCUAAGCAUACUACCGAAACCAUGGAUGCGACCAUUAGGUCGCGUGAUAGGAGAGCGUUCUAAGGGCGGUGAAGCAAGAUCGUGAGGACUUGUGGAGCGCUUAGAAGUGAGAAUGCCGGUAUGAGUAGCGAAAGAUAGGUGAGAAUCCUAUCCACCGAAUGACUAAGGUUUCCUGGGGAAGGCUCGUCCUCCCAGGGUUAGUCGGGACCUAAGUCGAGGCCGAGAGGCGUAGACGAUGGAUAACAGGUUGAGAUUCCUGUACUAGUUAAGUGCGUUUGAGCAAUGGAGGGACGCAGGAGGCUAAGAUGUGCAUUCUGUUGGAUUAGAAUGUCCAAGCAGUAAGUCUUGUGAAGAGUCAAAUGCUUUUCACUUUAAGGACAAGCUGUGAUGGGGAGCGAAAUUUAGUAGCGAAGCGUCUGAUGUCACACUGCCGAGAAAAGCUUCUAGUGAGUACUUAACUACCCGUACCGCAAACCGACACAGGUAGUCGAGGAGAGAAUCCUAAGGUGAGCGAGUGAACUCUCGUUAAGGAACUCGGCAAAAUGACCCCGUAACUUCGGGAGAAGGGGUGCUGAUCGCAAGAUCAGCCGCAGUGAAUAGGCCCAGGCGACUGUUUAUCAAAAACACAGGUCUCUGCAAAAUCGUAAGAUGACGUAUAGGGGCUGACGCCUGCCCGGUGCUGGAAGGUUAAAAGGAUGGGUUAGCUUCGGCGAAGCUCAGAAUUGAAGCCCCAGUAAACGGCGGCCGUAACUAUAACGGUCCUAAGGUAGCGAAAUUCCUUGUCGGGUAAGUUCCGACCCGCACGAAAGGCGUAACGAUCUGGGCACUGUCUCAACGAGAGACUCGGUGAAAUUAUAUUGUCCGUGAAGAUGCGGACUACCCGCGACAGGACGGAAAGACCCCAUGGAGCUUUACUGUAGCUUGAUAUUGAGUGUUUGUACAGCUUGUACAGGAUAGGUAGGAGCCAUAGAAACCGGAACGCUAGUUUCGGUGGAGGCGUUGGUGGGAUACUACCCUCGCUGUAUGACCACUCUAACCCGCACCACUAAUCGUGGUGGGAGACAGUGUCAGGUGGGCAGUUUGACUGGGGCGGUCGCCUCCUAAAAAGUAACGGAGGCGCCCAAAGGUUCCCUCAGAAUGGUUGGAAAUCAUUCGCAGAGUGUAAAGGCACAAGGGAGCUUGACUGCGAGACAGACAGGUCGAGCAGGGACGAAAGUCGGGCUUAGUGAUCCGGUGGUACCGUAUGGAAGGGCCAUCGCUCAACGGAUAAAAGCUACCCUGGGGAUAACAGGCUUAUCUCCCCCAAGAGUCCACAUCGACGGGGAGGUUUGGCACCUCGAUGUCGGCUCAUCGCAUCCUGGGGCUGUAGUCGGUCCCAAGGGUUGGGCUGUUCGCCCAUUAAAGCGGUACGCGAGCUGGGUUCAGAACGUCGUGAGACAGUUCGGUCCCUAUCCGUCGCGGGCGUAGGAAAUUUGAGAGGACCUGUCCUUAGUACGAGAGGACCGGGAUGGACAUACCUCUGGUGUACCAGUUGUGCCGCCAGGCGCAUCGCUGGGUAGCUACGUAUGGAUGUGAUAAACGCUGAAAGCAUCUAAGUGUGAAACACACCUCGAGAUGAGAUUUCCCAUUCCUUUAUGGAAGUAAGACCCCUGAAAGAUGAUCAGGUAGAUAGGUUAGAAGUGGCAGUGCGGUGACGCAUGAAGCGGACUAAUACUAAUCGGUCGAGGACUUAACCAAG
rnacentral:rRNA from 1 species